rnacentral:rRNA from 1 species
AACGAACGCUGGCGGCAGGCCUAACACAUGCAAGUCGAGCGCGCCCUUCGGGGUGAGCGGCGGACGGGUGGGUAACGCGUGGGAACGUGCCCUUUUCUACGGAAUAGCCUCGGGAGACUGAGAGUAAUACCGUAUACGCCCUUUGGGGGAAAGAUUUAUCGGAAAAGGAUCGGCCCGCGUUGGAUUAGGUAGUUGGUGGGGUAAUGGCCUACCAAGCCGACGAUCCAUAGCUGGUUUGAGAGGAUGAUCAGCCACACUGGGACUGAGACACGGCCCAGACUCCUACGGGAGGCAGCAGUGGGGAAUCUUAGACAAUGGGGGCAACCCUGAUCUAGCCAUGCCGCGUGAGUGAUGAAGGCCUUAGGGUUGUAAAGCUCUUUCAGCUGGGAAGAUAAUGACGGUACCAGCAGAAGAAGCCCCGGCUAACUCCGUG